UACGUAGGGUGCGAGCGUUGUCCGGAAUUAUUGGGCGUAAAGGGCUCGUAGGCGGUUUGUCGCGUCGGGAGUGAAAUCCACUGGCUUAACUGGUGGCUUGCUUUCGAUACGGGCAGACUGGAGGUAUGCAGGGGAGAACGGAAUUCCUGGUGUAGCGGUGAAAUGCGCAGAUAUCAGGAGGAACACCGGUGGCGAAAGGCGGUUCUCUGGGCAUGUCCUGACGCUGAGGAGCGAAAGUGUGGGGAGCAAACAGG
rnacentral:rRNA from 1 species